rnacentral:rRNA from 1 species
GACGCUAAUACCGCAUACGUCCUACGGGAGAAAGCAGGGGACCUUCGGGCCUUGCGCUAUCAGAUGAGCCUAGGUCGGAUUAGCUAGUUGGUGGGGUAAUGGCUCACCAAGGCGACGAUCCGUAACUGGUCUGAGAGGAUGAUCAGUCACACUGGAACUGAGACACGGUCCAGACUCCUACGGGAGGCAGCAGUGGGGAAUAUUGGACAAUGGGCGAAAGCCUGAUCCAGCCAUGCCGCGUGUGUGAAGAAGGUCUUCGGAUUGUAAAGCACUUUAAGUUGGGAGGAAGGGCAGUAAAUUAAUACUUUGCUGUUUUGACGUUACCGACAGAAUAAGCACCGGCUAACUCUGUGCCAGCAGCCGCGGUAAUACAGAGGGUGCAAGCGUUAAUCGGAAUUACUGGGCGUAAAGCGCGCGUAGGUGGUUCGUUAAGUUGGAUGUGAAAUCCCCGGGCUC